GGCAAAAUGAGAGUCCAACUGUCUCUUAUAAUAAAUCAAUUAAACUGAUCCCUCAGUACAAAAGCUGAGAUAUCCACAUAAGACCAGAAGACCCUGUGAAGCUUUAAUUACCCUAUUAAACCACAUAAUAGCUAAUUUCGGUUGGGGCGACCUUGGAACAAAAAAGAACUUCCAAACAUACGGCUAAAACCGCCAAAGGCACACAAGCCUCUAAUAGACCCAGUAUAUCUGAUAAAUGAACCAAGUUACUCCAGGGAUAACAGCGCCAUCUUCUUCAAGAGCCCAUAUCAAAAAGAAGGUUUACGACCUCGAUGUUGGAUCAGGACAUCCUAGCAAUGCAGCCGUUACUAAGGGUUCGUUUGUUCAACGAUUAACAGUCCUACGUGA
rnacentral:rRNA from 1 species